GGCACGUGUAGUCUAGUGGUAGGACACAGGAUUCAUGAUCGUGAGAUGUGGGUUCGAGCCCCGCCCCGGCCA